rnacentral:rRNA from 1 species
UGGGGAAUUUUGGACAAUGGGCGCAAGCCUGAUCCAGCAAUGCCGCGUGCAGGAUGAAGGCCUUCGGGUUGUAAACUGCUUUUGUACGGAGCGAAAAGGUCUGCCCUAAUACGGUGGGCUCAUGACGGUACCGUAAGAAUAAGCACCGGCUAACUACGUGCCAGCAGCCGCGGUAAUACGUAGGGUGCGAGCGUUAAUCGGAAUUACUGGGCGUAAAGCGUGCGCAGGCGGUUAUAUAAGACAGAUGUGAAAUCCCCGGGCUCAACCUGGGACCUGCAUUUGAAACUGGCAGGCUUGAGUCUUGUAGAGGGGGGUAGAAUUCCAGGUGUAGCAGUGAAAUGCGUAGAUAUGCGGAGGAACACCGAUGGCGAAGGCAAUCCCCUGGACCUGUACUGACGCUCAUGCACGAAAGCGUGGGGAGCAAACA